GGCCCUAUAGCUCAGCGGUAGAGCGUUGGCUUCCAGCUUCUUGGAAUUUUCCAAAGGUCAUCCGUUCAAAUCGGGUUGGGGUCA
rfam:Tstilago hordei, Th4857-4, WGS project CAGI01000000 data, contig: THOR_scaffold_5.00012